rnacentral:rRNA from 1 species
AGCGAACGCUGGCGGCAGGCUUAACACAUGCAAGUCGAACGGGCGUAGCAAUACGUCAGUGGCAGACGGGUGAGUAACGCGUGGGAACGUACCUUUUGGUUCGGAACAACCCAGGGAAACUUGGGCUAAUACCGGAUAAGCCCUUACGGGGAAAGAUUUAUCGCCGAAAGAUCGGCCCGCGUCUGAUUAGCUAGUUGGUGAGGUAACGGCUCACCAAGGCGACGAUCGGUAGCUGGUCUGAGAGGAUGAUCAGCCACAUUGGGACUGAGACACGGCCCAAACUCCUACGGGAGGCAGCAGUGGGGAAUUGUUCGCAAUGGGCGCAAGCCUGACGACGCAACGCCGCGUGGAGGAUGAAGACCUU